UGCAUCUUAAAGAGGAAGACGCAGAGCCCCAAAAGGGCGCUGCUUAAAAACACCCUAGCACGGCAUGUCCACGCCUGAUUGGUAGCUUACCCAUGAUCUCAUUGGCACGCCCCGGGGUGGGCAAAGACUUGCCGCAAACACACUCUUGCACAUGUGCACACAGCUUGUUUCCUGAAAAGAGGUCGAGCUGGCACAGCGGAAGCCGGCGCCAUCUUGUGAUGGCGAAUGCUAUUGCGGCUCUCCACAUGGAACUACCAAAUUGUUCUGUUGGCCUAAAUAUUUUCUACCUAUCUUCUGUCAUGGUCAAAGUUGUUUCACUCAUUGUACUUCAUGGAAUGAGCAAACCUCCCAGCAGUUCCUCUGAUGCUGAGUUUAGAGUCUGAGAGAAGAGGAGGGAGAAGCAAGCCAUGAGAUGUAGGCGACGGACUUACUGAUGUGAACUGGUAAACUACUUUCUAUGGAACUCAGAGGGGAAAGCAGAAAGAAGACAGAAGACCAGGGGCUGUGGAUAUGAUUCAAUUCAUACAAUUUCUUAGAGCAGAGUCUUAUUAAAAGGCCAUUCC